rnacentral:rRNA from 1 species
CAGUAGCCGCGGGAAUACGAAGGGGGCUAGCGUUGCUCGGAAUGACUGGGCGUAAAGGGCGCGUAGGCGGUUCGUACAGUCGGAUGUGAAAUUCCUGGGCUUAACCUGGGGGCUGCAUUCGAUACGUGCGGGCUUGAGUGUGGAAGAGGGUUGUGGAAUUCCCAGUGUAGAGGUGAAAUUCGUAGAUAUUGGGAAGAACACCGGUGGCGAAGGCGGCAACCUGGUCCAUGACUGACGCUGAGGCGCGAAAGCGUGGGGAGCAAACAGGAUUAGAUACCCCGGUAGUCCCUGUCUCUUAUAC